AGUGAACGCUGGCGGUAGGCCUAACACAUGCAAGUCGAACGGCAGCACAGUAAGAGCUUGCUCUUACGGGUGGCGAGUGGCGGACGGGUGGGGAAUACAUCGGAAUCUACUUUUUCGUGGGGGAUAACAUAGGGAAACUUACGCUAAUACCGCAUACGACCUACGGGUGAAAGCAGGGGAUCUUCGGACCUUGCGCGAUUGAAUGAGCCGAUGUCGGAUUAGCUAGUUGGCGGGGUAAAGGCCCACCAAGGCGACGACCCGUAGCUGGUCUGAGAGGAUGAUCAGCCACACUGGAACUGAGACACGGUCCAGACUCCUACGGGAGGCAGCAGUGGGGAAUAUUGGACAAUGGGCGCAAGCCUGAUCCAGCCAUACCGCGUGGGUGAAGAAGGCCUUCGGGUUGUAAAGCCCUUUUGUUGGGAAAGAAAAGCAGCAGGUUAAUACCCCGCUGUUCUGACGGUACCCAAAGAAUAAGCACCGGCUAACUUCGUG
rnacentral:rRNA from 1 species